UAGGAAAGUCCGGACACCACAGAGCAGCAAAGCGGAUAACAUCCGUCACCCGUGAGGGUAGGACAAGUGCAACAGAAAGCAGGUACAGUUCGGCUGUAGUGAAACCAGGUAAACUCUUUGCGGUGCAAUGGUAAGUAUAUCGGUUCUUUUCAGUAAUGAAAAUAGGGGCGGCUCGUCCUGAAAACCGAGGGGUAAUCAGCUCAAGUGUUGCAGCAAUGUAACACGCAGAUAAAUAACAGGCGCUUCUCCGGAAGUACAGAAUCCGGCUUA
rnacentral:RNase_P_RNA from 1 species